UACGGAGGGGGCUAGCGUUGUUCGGAAUUACUGGGCGUAAAGCGCACGUAGGCGGCUUUGCAAGUUAGAGGUGAAAGCCCGGGGCUCAACUCCGGAAUUGCCUUUAAAACUGCAUCGCUAGAAUUGUGGAGAGGUGAGUGGAAUUCCCAGUGUAGAGGUGAAAUUCGUAGAUAUUGGGAAGAACACCGGUGGCGAAGGCGGCUCACUGGCCCGUUUCUGACGCUCAUGCACGACAGCGUGGGGAGCAAACGGG
rnacentral:rRNA from 1 species